CAAGUCUUGACAUCCUUCUGACAAAGUAUGUAAUGUACUCUUCCUUCGGGACAGAAGUGACAGGUGGUGCAUGGUUGUCGUCAGCUCGUGUCGUGAGAUGUUGGGUUAAGUCCCGCAACGAGCGCAACCCUUGUCCUUAGUAGCCAGCAUUUAAGGUGGGCACUCUAGGGAGACUGCCAGGGUGAACCUGGAGGAAGGUGGGGAUGACGUCAAAUCAUCAUGCCCCUUAUGACUUGGGCUACACACGUGCUACAAUGGCGUAAACAAAGGGAAGCGAAAUCGCGGGGUGGAGCAAAUCUCAAAAAUAACGUCUCAGUUCGGAUUGUAGUCUGCAACUCGACUACAUGAAGCUGGAAUCGCUAGUAAUCGCGAAUCAGAA
rnacentral:rRNA from 1 species